rnacentral:sRNA from 1 species
CGCCUCUUCCUCGCAGUCUCCACUCGGCAACCACCAUCGGAAAUAAAUACCAUGGCCUGGGAGACCAUCCUGAUGGAUACACUGGAGGACAACAUCCCCCGUGCUCGGGCUGGCCACUGCGCAGUCGCCAUCAACACCCGCCUGUACAUUUGGAGUGGGCGUGACGGCUACCGCAAGGCCUGGAACAACCAGGUCUGCUGCAAGGACCUCUGGUACCUAGAGACAGGUAGGCCCGGCCCAGCCGACUCCCCUCCUCCCAUAGCCUCCCGCCCCUUCUCACCAACUGCGUUCUCCCACAGAAAAGCCACCACCCCCAGCCCGAGUACAACUGGUACGCGCCAACACCAACUCCCUGGAGGUGAGCUGGGGGGCAGUGGCAACAGCCGACAGCUACCUUCUCCAGCUCCAGAAAUAUGACAUUCCUGCCACGGCUGCUACUGCCACCUCCCCUA